AGUGAACGCUGGCGGUAGGCCUAACACAUGCAAGUCGAACGGCAGCACAGUAAGAGCUUGCUCUUACGGGUGGCGAGUGGCGGACGGGUGAGGAAUACAUCGGAAUCUACUUUUACGUGGGGGAUAACGUAGGGAAACUUACGCUAAUACCGCAUACGACCUACGGGUGAAAGCAGGGGAUCUUCGGACCUUGCGCGAUUGAAUGAGCCGAUGUCGGAUUAGCUAGUUGGCGGGGUAAAGGCCCACCAAGGCGACGAUCCGUAGCUGGUCUGAGAGGAUGAUCAGCCACACUGGAACUGAGACACGGUCCAGGCUCCUACGGGAAGCAGCAGUGGGGAAUAUUGGACAAUGGGCGCAAGCCUGAUCCAGCCAUACCGCGUGGGUGAAGAAGGCCUUCGGGUUGUAAAGCCCUUUUGUUGGGAAAGAAAAGCAGCAGGUUAAUACCCCGCUGUUCUGACGGUACCCAAAGAAUAAGCACCGGCUAACUUCGUG
rnacentral:rRNA from 1 species